rnacentral:rRNA from 1 species
AACUUUCAACAACGGAUCUCUUGGUUCUGGCAUCGAUGAAGAACACAGCGAAAUGCGAUAAGUAAUGUGAAUUGCAGAAUUCAGUGAAUCAUCGAAUCUUUGAACGCACAUUGCGCCCGCCAGUAUCCUGGCGGGCAUGCCUGUUCGAGCGUCAUU